CCUACGGGUGGCAGCAGUCGAGAAUCAUUCACAAUGGGGGAAACCCUGAUGGUGCGACGCCGCGUGGGGGAAUGAAGGUCUUCGGAUUGUAAACCCCUGUCAUGUGGGAGCAAAUUCAAAAGAUAGUACCACAAGAGGAAGAGACGGCUAACUCUGUGCCAGCAGCCGCGGUAAUACAGAGGUCUCACGCGUUGUUCGGAAUCACUGGGCGUAAAGCGUGCGUAGGCUGUUUCGUAAGUCGUGUGUGAAAGGUGCGGGCUCAACCCGCGGACGGCACAUGAUACUGCGAGACUAGAGUAAUGGAGGGGGAACCGGAAUUCGCGGUGUAGCAGUGAAAUGCGUAGAUAUCGAGAGGAACACUCGUGGCGAAGGCGGGUUCCUGGACAUUAACUGACGCUGAGGCACGAAGGCCAGGGGAGCGAAAGGGAUUAGAUACCCUGGUAGUC
rnacentral:rRNA from 1 species